CACAAGCGGUGGAGCAUGUGGUUAAUUCGAAGCAACGCGAAGAACCUUUACCAGGUCUUGACAUCCCGAUGCUAUUUCUAGAGAUAGAAAGUUACUUCGGUACAUCGGUGACAGGUGGUGCAUGGUUGUCGUCAGCUCGUGUCGUGAGAUGUUGGGUUAAGUCCCGCAACGAGCGCAACCCCUAUUGUUAGUUGCCAUCAUUCAGUUGGGCACUCUAGCGAGACUGCCGGUAAUAAACCGGAGGAAGGUGGGAUGACGUCAAAUCAUCAUGCCCCUUAUGACCUGGGCUACACACGUGCUACAAUGGUUGGUACAACGAGUUGCGAGUCGGUGACGGCGAGCUAAUCUCUUAAAGCCAAUCUCAGCUCGGAUUGUAGGCUGCAACUCGCCUACAUGAAGUCGGAAUCGCUAGUAAUCGCGGAUCAGCACGCCGCGGUGAAUACGUUCCCGGGCCUU
rnacentral:rRNA from 1 species